UACCAGACUCCUACGGGAGGCAGCAGUGAGGAAUAUUGGUCAAUGGGCGAGAGCCUGAACCAGCCAAGUCGCGUGAGGGAAGACGGUCCUAUGGAUUGUAAACCUCUUUUGCCGGGGAGCAAAAAGCGGUACGUGUACCGCAUCGAGAGUACCCGGAGAAAAAGCAUCGGCUAACUCCGUGCCAGCAGCCGCGGUAAUACGGAGGAUGCGAGCGUUAUCCGGAUUUAUUGGGUUUAAAGGGUGCGUAGGCGGACUGGAAAGUCAGCGGUAAAAUCGAGAGGCUCAACCUCUUUCCGCCGUUGAAACUGAUGUUCUUGAGUGGGCGAGAAGUAUGCGGAAUGCGUGGUGUAGCGGUGAAAUGCAUAGAUAUCACGCAGAACUCCGAUUGCGAAGGCAGCAUACCGGCGCCCAACUGACGCUGAAGCACGAAAGCGUGGGUAUCGAACAGGAUUAGAUACCCCCGUAC
rnacentral:rRNA from 1 species